UACAGAGGGUGCGAGCGUUAAUCGGAAUUACUGGGCGUAAAGCGCGCGCAGGCGGUUUUUCAAGUCAGGGGUGAAAGCCCGGAGCUCAACUCCGGAACUGCCAUUGAAACUGUGAAACUUGAGGAUGAGAGAGGUGAGUGGAAUUCCCAGUGUAGAGGUGAAAUUCGUAGAUAUUGGGAAGAACACCGGUGGCGAAGGCGGCUCACUGGCUCAUUUCUGACGCUCAGGCGCGACAGCGUGGGGAUCAAACAGG
rnacentral:rRNA from 1 species